rnacentral:rRNA from 1 species
GACGAACGCUGGCGGCGUGCCUAACACAUGCAAGUCGAGCGAAUGAAGUUCCUUCGGGAACGGAUUUAGCGGCGGACGGGUGAGUAACACGUGGGCAACCUGCCUCAUAGAGGGGAAUAGCCUUCCGAAAGGGAGAUUAAUACCGCAUAAGAUUGUAGUACUGCAUGGUACAGCAAUUAAAGGAGCAAUCCGCUACGAGAGGGACCCGCGGCGCAAUAGCUAGUGGGUGAGGUAACGGCUCACCAAGGCGACGAUGCGUAGCCGACCUGAGAGGGUGAUCGGCCACAUUGGGACUGAGACACGGCCCAGACUCCUACGGGAGGCAGCAGUGGGGAAUAUUGCACAAUGGGGGAAACCCUGAUGCAGCAACGCCGCGUGAGUGAUGACGGCCUUCGGGUUGUAAAGCUCUGUCUUCAGGGACGAUAAUGACGGUACCUGAGGAGGAAGCCACGGCUAACUACGUGCCAGCCGCCGCGGUAA